CACAGAGUGGGGGUUGUGAUUGCUGGAGGAUUUGGGCAAUUUAGGAAGUCAUUGCUGUCUGGGAGGCACCUGAACAGGGAGAGGUGUCAGUUGCCUUUAGCUGGGAAGAUGUGGGAGGCAGGGACACGGGAAGGAAAGAAGGCGGGCACAUGGGAAGGCAGUGGUGCAGAGAAGGAAGGCAGGAGCUACUUUUGGCAUUAAUAAUUUAAUGAAACCAGUUUUUUCCCUGAUUCCCCACAUUUUGGCCCUGUGGUCCUGGGAAGGAGCUGUGGCUGCAUCUCACCUCUGGGUUCAAAAGCACAAAUUUUGUGAAAUGUGCAAUUUAAUCAUUCUCUGGGAUUUGUUUGAGCCCGUGGCUCUGGAGCUGCCCUAAUUAGGGAGCUUUGUGUGAUCCUACUAUGGCCAUGCCAGGAACAGAUGCUGCAGGGCCUGAGCACAGCCAAUUACACCUGGCCAGGGAAAACCAGGCUUGGGAGGAAGGAAUUUGUUUGUUUGUUUGUUUGUUUUUAAUGGGAUAAUAGGGAAAAAGGAAGUCUGGGGGAGGUCCAGUCAGAGCAGGGCAGCCUCCAGCUUCAGAUUGCUCUGGGAGCUUGUCUGGAGUCUCCAGGGAUGAGGAUUGCUCACUGUCCCAGGCUGCACACACUUGCUAUCCCAUCUCUUUUCCCACACACUUGCAUCCAGACCCUUUUCUCUUGCCAGAAAUCUCUGUGUUCCCUUCUCUUUAAGCCUCUUUUUGGCAGCAGAAGCCCUUCUGCACCCAUGCUUUCCAGAGAUCCAGCUGGAAUGGAAUUUCAGUUCCUGGGGGUCUGGGGGUGCCUGGCGCUGCUUCCCGGCACCCCUAACUCCAUCCUCCCCCUAGGAAUGCCACCGAUGCAGGUGCACCAUGGGCCACCUGGGAUGGGCCAGCAUCACCCAGGACCGCCAGGCUCUGGAGGGCAGCCGCCCCCCCGGCCCCCUCCAGGAAUGCCGCACCCUGGGCCACCCCCCAUGGGGCUCCCCCCUCGGGGGCCACACUUUGGAUCUCCCAUGGGUCAUCCUGGGCCGCUGCCGCACCAUGGGCUCCGCGGGCCC
rnacentral:lncRNA from 1 species